CAAUCCGCUGUUACUAUAAAUAGAUUCAGUGUUACCUGGUGUUGAAAUACUGCUUAUGAAAUCCUGUCUUAAGACUCAGUUUGGAUCUUUUACUAGAGGCAGCACUGUGCGCUUGGCAUUCGCGAGAAUUACAAUUUGGCAUUGUUACGUCACAAUUCGCAGCGUCGCUCCUACCAAUUAACCAAUCAGUCCCCAGCUUCCCACGUGAUCAACACGUUUUCGUUUUUGCUCAUGUGAGUUUUGGGAUCGGUUGGUUCUUUUUGGUUUGCCACGUUUUCGAAAAGGUGCUAAGCAGUUCGAAGUUAUAAUGUAGUUAUGUGAGGGCAGCUAGGUUGUGAUAAGGGCUUGUUUUAGCGUUGAAUAUGCAAUAUACGAGCAAUAUUAUGCAUUUAUUUGUUUUAUUAAUAUUUAACAUUUAUUUACAGCUGGCUAUUUUAAAAAUAAUUCUUAUAUAGUUUGAAUUAUUUGAAUUUACACUGAAACAAGAAGUCUUGUGUUCAAAUCACAUCAAUGUUAUCUCGCUCACGAAUAAAGAUGCCUUGAGUGACAGCCGCCGAUGCAGCUUCGGAUUGGCAACGUUAAAACAAUCCAACGUACAAGGAGAAUGAUAUACUAACUCCGAAACGACAUAUCUACAAGUUCGUUACCGCACAGUUGACCUGCAUAACCGAGUUCUGUUCGAAGCAGGAUCAUCUUGAAAUGCUCCGUAGAACCAACACAUGUCAUCCACAUUGUUUGGAUUCAGACACUACGCCAUCUACUCCACUAUAUACGAGUUUGGUACGAAGCUGUCUCCGUGAACCGCUGAUAAGAUUUCGAUAUGACGUCACAGUUCACACGACGUCACUCAGCUGGUUCUAUGAGCAUAUAAUGGUUUGAAAAUUAUUACGUGAAACGAAAGAAUUGCUGGAGGAAGAAAGGACGAAGAAAAGAGAAAAAGACGGAACGAAAAGCUGAAGAACGAAGAUGGAGCCAUAGCAUACCUUGACUAAGAUUUAUUCUUAGUCGAUGUAAAUACUAACUUAUGUGAGCUGUAGCAUAAAAAGUCCCCUUUAUUGAAUGCUUGUUUAAAAUAGAAUGUUUAUGUGGUACAUUGUGUGUGGGGUGGGGAAGUAUACGGGAAUCAAAUAAUUAAAGUCCACCUUUGUACACGUUAGUAAUGUAACGUGGUUGGGAAUCUUGGGUUUAUUUCUCCGUGUGUGUGUGUGUGUAAACAACCUGCAUAAGAACGGUGCGCGCAGGUCAGAUUUCCAACUUUAACCCAAAACUCCUGGUGUCACUUAUCAGCAAGGCCGGACAGUCGGCAUCGGAUAGAUAGAAGUGACAUCGCUAUAACUAGGGAUCGCUGUUAGGAAGUUUAAGUUAGACAGAACUGGGACACUGCACCGGGCCGACACAACACGUGUCAUUGCACCCAGGCCUAUACAGCAGACCGUCCUGGUUUGCGUAAACCCUUACACGCCGGUUGGUUAAAAGUCCGGUCGGCGAAAGCUGGCGGGUUCCAACUGCAAAACAAUUAGGCGCCAAACUUGCGACUAGGGUAGGGAUCAAAAA